AUUGAACGCUGGCGGCAUGCUUUACACAUGCAAGUCGAACGGUAACAGGCCGCAAGGUGCUGACGAGUGGCGAACGGGUGAGUAAUGCAUCGGAACGUGCCCAGUCGUGGGGGAUAACGCAGCGAAAGCUGUGCUAAUACCGCAUACGAUCUAUGGAUGAAAGCGGGGGACCGUAAGGCCUCGCGCGAUUGGAGCGGCCGAUGUCAGAUUAGGUAGUUGGUGGGGUAAAGGCCUACCAAGCCGACGAUCUGUAGCUGGUCUGAGAGGACGACCAGCAAGACGGGGACUGAGAAACGGCCAAGCCUCCUACGGGAGGCAGCAGUGGGGAAUUUUGGACAAUGGGCGCAAGCCUGAUCCAGCAAUGCCGCGUGCAGGAAGAAGGCUUUCGGGUUGUAAACUGCUUUUGUACGGAACGAAACGGUCCGGGUUAAUACCCUGGGCUAAUGACGGUACCGUAAGAAUAAGCACCGGCUAACUACGUGCCAGCCGCCGCCGUAAAAC
rnacentral:rRNA from 1 species